rnacentral:rRNA from 1 species
GACGAACGCUGGUGGCGUGCUUAACACAUGCAAGUCGAGCGAGGCGUCCGCUUUCGGGUGGAUAGUCGAGCGGCGAACGGGUGAGUAACACGUGAGUAACCUUCCCUGGGCUCGGGGAUAACCUCGGGAAACUGAGGCUAAUACCGGAUGUGCGUUGUUUGGGGCUUCCUGGAUGACGGAAAGGUUGCGUGCCGUGAGGUGCGUUUCCGGCCUUGGAUGAGCUCGCGGCCUGUCAGCUUGUUGGUGCGGUGAUGGCGUACCAAGGCGACGACGGGUGGGCGGCCUGAGAGGGUGACCGGCCACACUGGGACUGAGAUACGGCCCAGACUCCUACGGGAGGCAGGAGUGGGGAAUCUUGCGCAAUGGGCGGAAGCCUGACGCAGCAACGCCACGUGGGGGAUGACGGCCUUCGGGUUGUAAACCUCUUUCGGCCUUGACGAAGGCAUCUCUGUUGGGGGUGUUGACGGUAGGGGCAGAAGAAGCACCGGCUAACUACGUGCCAGCAGCCGCCGCUGUAA